rnacentral:rRNA from 1 species
AUGUUUAGUAGAAAAUCUAUAAUAGCCGCCACACAUAUCUUCUCGCCUCGCGACGGCGCAGGGCGCUCGGGAGCGUGCCGUACACCACAUGUCGGACGCCUUCCGCCGCUGCGCCAGGCAGGAGGUCGAAAUCGGCCACGUCCUGUACCACAGCAUGUUCGACGGUUCGACCUGCUCACGAACACGCUCUUCUCCCUCGAUGGACAGGACAAGCCGAGGGACCUUCUGGAGGACAUAGUGGGGCUCCUCGCCGAGCCCAACAUGUCAGACUUGUACCCGUUGCUCCAGGUGUUGGACCUGCAGGGCCUUCGCCAUUGGACGGCCACACACAUGAAUCACGUCUUCCAUCUGCUGGACAAGAUCAUCGACAACCGGCUGGGCGGUGCCAAGGGCAGGCAUCAUUGGGACAUCCUGGACACGCUGCUGGCACUGGGAACCGCUGGCAAGCUGAGCCGCCGCGAUUUGAAGGCCAUGCUGUUCAACAUCCUGGGCGGCGGGCACGGAGACGACCAAGAUCACGGUGGAGUGCAGACCCAGGCGUGA